CUUUUUGAUAAUAAUUUAAGGUCUAACCUGCCCAAUGAGUAUUUAAAUGGCCGCAGUAUUUUGACUGUGCAAAGGUAGCAUAAUCAUUUGUUUCUUAAUUAGAAGCUUGUAUGAAAGGUUGAAUGAAAAAAUAGCUGUCUCUAUUUUAAUUAAUUAGAAUUUUAUUUUUAAGUAAAAAAGCUUAAAUAAAAAUAGAAGACGAGAAGACCCUAUAGAGUUUUAUAUUUUUUAAAAUGAUAAUUUUAUAGGAUAUUAUAUUUAUUUUUAUAAAAAGUAUUUAAUUGGGGUGAUUGAAAAAUUUAUUAAACUUUUUUUUUAUUUAAACAUUUAUUUAUGAUAUUUUGAUCCUUUUUUUAAGAAAAAAGAAUAAAUUACCUUAGGGAUAACAGCGUAAUUUUUUUAGAGAGUUCAAAUUGAAAAAAAAGAUUGCGACCUCGAUGUUGGAUUAAAAUAUAAUUUUGGUGUAGAAGCUAAA
rnacentral:rRNA from 1 species